rnacentral:rRNA from 1 species
CCUACGGGUGGCAGCAGUGAGGAAUAUUGGUCAAUGGGCGGAAGCCUGAACCAGCCAAGUAGCGUGCAGGAUGAAGGCCCUAUGGGUUGUAAACUGCUUUUAUGCGGGGAUAAAACGCUUCACUUGUGGUGUUUUGCAGGUACCGCAUGAAUAAGGACCGGCUAAUUCCGUGCCAGCAGCCGCGGUAAUACGGAAGGUCCGGGCGUUAUCCGGAUUUAUUGGGGUUAAAGGGAGCGUCGGCGGGGCGUUAAGCGCGCCGUUAAAUUCCCUGGCCUAACCCGGCCCCCGCGGUGGAAACUGGACGCCUUGAGUUCACAACAGGCAGGCGGAAUUCGUGGUGUAGCGGUGAAAUGCAUAGAUAGCACGAGGAACCCCGAUUGCGAAGGCAGCCUACCGGAGUGCGACUGACGCUGAGGCUCGAAGGUGCGGGUAUCAAACAGGAUUAGAUACCCCAGUAGUC